GUCCCUUUGGAUAAAAGUAGAGCUAGUCUGACCAUUUAAACUUUCCUUUCAUCAUUAUGUGUUUUUACACCUUAUAGAUUUGAUGAACUUUAACCAUUUUUGCUUUUAGCCCUGUUUGAGGGAUACCAUUCCUAUGAUAAAAAUGCAAUUGCCAAAGUAAUUUUCAGUCUGUCCAGAUACAUAAGGAUCCAUCAGAGGAGGGAUGUUUCAGAUCAUCAAAAUAUACAAUCAUGUGUGCUUGGCUUGUCCAUAAUUGCUUGAGCCAAGAAAUGGACCUCAACCACUAAUUAUCCUUAUAUCGAAUGCUUACAUAGAUGCAUUGAGGUCGGAAAGCCUCGAGCGUGUGCAACCCAGCUCUCUUACAAUCCAACACAGGCCUGGAUAGGUGUGCAAUAUCCAAGCUUUCCAUCAGGUGGUUCCCCACUUCUUGAUGCCACGGUUCAAAAUUCAGCCAAGUCCACUCCAUAUGCUUAUUCAAAGUGGAAGUAACUAUAUAGAGUGUAGGCUCAGGGGUCCACAAUGCUUACAUGGAUGCAUGAUCAAAGCUGCUCAUCAGUUUUAUCCUUGAAGAAAAAGGGAAGAAAAAUCUGUCCACAUAUUUAUAUAUAAAAAAAAAUCCAUAGCUAUUCUUCUUCAUUUGCUAGUUACAGGUGGAGCAUUGGGGGUGGAGCAUUGGUAGCAGACGGGGGCUUUGCUACUUCAUAUGGGGAUGGAUAUGGACUUCAUUCGGUAUGGUUGUUUUUGCAGAAAAUAUUUAUGACUGAAAAUUUAAUUUUAGAUUCUGUCACUCAGAUUAUGAGUGUACAUACUGUUUUAUUA